GUGCCAGCCGCCGCGGUAAUACAGAGGUCUCAAGCGUUGUUCGGAUUCAUUGGGCGUAAAGGGUGCGUAGGCGGCGCCGUAAGUCGGAUGUGAAAUCUUCGGGCUCAACCCGGAAACUGCAUUCGAUACUGCGGGGCUUGAGGACUGGAGAGGAGAUCGGAAUUCACGGUGUAGCAGUGAAAUGCGUAGAUAUCGUGAGGAAGACCAGUGGCGAAGGCGGAUCUCUGGACAGUUCCUGACGCUGAGGCACGAAGGCCAGGGGAGCAAACGGGAUUAGAUACCCCUGUAGUCC
rnacentral:rRNA from 1 species